rnacentral:lncRNA from 1 species
CUGCUAUUUAAUGUAGUGGUUGUGUGGGUUUUUUCCGAGUUCCCAUCACAUGCCAGACUUUGAUGACAAAAUUUGCCGCAUCACCUUCACAAGAACAGCAGCAAGAGGUAGUUAUGAGACACACCUUUCUCAGAGAUAAGUACAGCAGCCACACAAAGCCUCCUUACUUAAUCAUUAACGAUCGACACUUUGGUAAGUAAAGGAACCUACAAGGAAAUGGGAGGACUAAUUUUAGCAGGAGCUCAGAAGGUAUCAGACACAGUUACACAAAGAAGCAAGGGACAAGCACGUCUUCAUAUUGGGGAGAUCAAGUCAAGAGACACAAGAUGAACCUGUUCACCCAGCAAACUGUGAUGCUUUGGCUCUGUGUUGCUCGUACACUCACGACGGCAGAGCUGGUGAAGCUAAGCACUGUUGACUCUGUCAUUGUGUGGUGUCACCAGAGUGUCCGCCUCCAAUGUAACAUCUCCACCUCCCAGGAGGGACUGUUGAUCAAACAUCUGGCCUGGGUCCGCCAGGACGGGAAGCACCUGUGUGAUGUUAACGGAACUGAAGUGACCGGGACCCACCCAGGGAGCACAACUAGUGCUAUGGAGUGUAGUUAUACCCCACAGACACAGCUGUCCCUGACUCUGCUGCAGGUACGACCACUGGAUCAGGGAAAGUACUUGUGCAAGCUGCGCUCCAGUCAUGGAGUAAAGGAGGCCACUACAAUGGUGAAGCUGCAAGAGUCCUACAAGGAGGCCCAGCCCAGUAUCAGUGAUGAGGGCCCAACCUGCACCUUCACUGGGGUCUAUCCUGAUGGCGAGGUGCACUGGUUCCAGGGACCCAACAACGUGACUGGGGACUCUACAAUCAACACUAAACAAGUGGAAGAUGGAGCGUCAUUGACUAUAACUAGUUCCCUGAAAAGAAAGACAGUCUCUGGGGAAGAGGCCUACAACUGCUCCCUGUGGAUCCCCAGUACCGGAUCCUACCUGACCAGCAGCUUAGUGGUACCAGAGCAUGAUAAAGCCAGGGUUGCGCAGCCCAAUGCCAGUGGGUCAGGGUCCAUUGGUCCUUUGUGGAAACCUUUUCUAGUCCUCCUGAGUACUCUCUUCCUGGUGUGACGUCUUGAAAACAAACAUGAACAAAUUGACAAGCAAGUGCCAGGAUCAUUUAAUAAGAAUAUGGAAGAGCCAUUGUGUGAGGUUCCUUUCAUGGUCCAAAGGUUUCCUUGGCUGCGUAGAACAAGGAAAUGAUGAACAGAUGAGAGAGGCUGAUCAACCUAUUGUGAACGCACCCUUGUUGGUCUGCCAGUGCCAGAUAUAAAUGAUUGUUAAUUAAAAACUGCAAACGGCAGUAGAAACAGUAACAAAGCUUACUUCCUGCCAGUUUUGGUAAAAAAUUGAGGGAUGGGGCUGGAGAAAUGUAACCACUCUCAAAUUCAUAGACGCGCUUUGGAUGCAUGGACUGACCAUCCAUGAUAUCAAAAUAAUAGUUUUAACAAUGUUUUGAGGCUAUAUAGUGUUUUAUUAAAUUGGAGUUGAACAAGCUUCUGAUGGGGUAAGAGAGUUGCACUAAGCUCAUGAGGCAUUUAUAAGUUACAUUCUUCAAGAAUUAAUGUGUACAUAUUAAAAAAAUGAUGUGACAACUACUGAUUGCCCCUUUAAGGGCGUGACCUUUUGUAGAAAAGCCUUCCUGUUUGCGUUAAUCAGAGAGAUCCCCUUGGACAGGAGCGGUGGUUUAACUGGGUUGAUUUUUUUUGUUGUUGAUUUUUUAAGUACAAUGGUAAAUGUAGUGUUUGCUGGCGCCCAUAGUCCACCUAGACACAUCCUCCGUGAGUGUUGUAACACCAACGUUUAACUGAAUGAGAAUUGUGAGAAAUGUAUUGUUAGUAAUGUUUGUUUGUGAGGUGAUAUUCCUGCUUAGGAUGGAUGUAAAUAAAUGGCUGCAUCCUGAUUAUCCCAUGCUCCACUCCUUGAUACAAAGAACCUGUGUGUUUUAGAUUUAGUCCUGAGGACCUCCUCUCGCC